UACAGAGGGUGCGAGCGUUAAUCGGAAUUACUGGGCGUAAAGCGCGCGGUAGGCGGCUUUUCAAGUCGGAUUGUGAAAUCCCCCGGGCUUAACCUGGGAACUGCAGUCGAGACUGUCUAGCUAGAGUAUGGGAGAGGGAAGUGGGAAUUUCAGGUGUAGCGGUGAAAUGCGCAGAUAUCAGGAGGAACACCGGUGGCGAAGGCGGGUCUCUGGGCCGAUACUGACGCUGGAGGAGCGAAAGCGUGGGGAGCAACAGG
rnacentral:rRNA from 1 species